rnacentral:lncRNA from 1 species
UGCUGCCCUUCUCAAAGCUUUCAUCAGCGUUAUCAUCUCCCCCAAAUACAAAACCAAUCUUCCUCCAGGCCCCUUUAAUCUCCCCGUCAUCGGCAACCUCCAGUGGCUUCUUAAAUCUUUCUCCGAAAUCGAACCAAUCCUCAGAAACCUUCACUCCAAGCUUGGCCCCGUCGUCACGCUCUUUAUCGGCCCUCGCCCGGCUAUCUUUAUCGCCGAUCGCUCACUGGCCCACAAGGCCUUGGUCCAAAACGGCGCCAUCUUUGCUGACAGACCCCGGCCUCUUCCCACAAGCAAAAUCGUCAGCAGCAACCAGCAUAACAUCAGCUCUGCUUCCUAUGGCACAACGUGGCGGCUCUUCCGCCGUAAUCUCUCAGCAGAGAUCCUCCAUCCCUCGCGUGUGAAAUCCUACAAGCACGCCCGCAAAUGGGUUCUUGAAAUUCUCUUGAAUCGUUUAAAGUCAGAGUCCAAAAAUGGGGACCGCCCUGUCCCCGUUCGUCUUCUUGAUCAUUUUCAAUACGCCAUGUUUUGCUUGUUGGUGCUCAUGUGUUUCGGAGACAAGCUUGAUGAAUCCCAAAUCAAAAAAAUUGAGAACGUUCAGCGUACACAGCUGUUGGCUUUUGGGAAUUUCAAUAUAUUGAAUUUCUGGCCAAGAUUAUCAAAAAUUGUUUUUGUUAAGAAGUGGGAGCAGUUCUUGCAGAUUCGUAGAGAUCAAGAAAACGUAUUGGUUCCUUUGAUAAGAGCAAGAAAGAAGAUGAAAGAAGAAGAGAGCCUCAGCAUUAAGGAGAGGGAGUAUGUGUUAUCGUAUGUGGAUACUCUGUUAGAUUUACAGCUUCCUGAAGAGAAAAGAAAGCUUAGCGAAGAGGAAAUUGUGAGUUUGUGUUCAGAAUUUCUCAACGCGGGCACUGACACUACCUCCACGGCGCUACAGUGGAUCAUGGCCAAUCUGGUGAAGCACCCGCACGUUCAAGAGACGGUUUAUACGGAAAUCAGAGGAGUUGUUGGUGAAAAUGAAGAGGUGAAAGAGGAGGAGUUGCAGAAGAUGCCGUAUAUGAAAGCAGUGAUUUUAGAGGGACUGAGGAGGCACCCGCCUGGGCAUUUCGUGUUGCCACAUGCCGUGACAGAGGAUUUCGUGCUUGAUGAUAAGUAUGUGAUACCAAAGGACGGGAGUGUGAAUUUCAUGGUGGCCGAAAUGGGUUGGGAUCCGAAAGUUUGGGAGGAUCCGAUGGCGUUUAAGCCCGAGAGGUUUUUGAAUGAUCAUGAUCAAGAUUUUGACAUAACGGGGAGUAGGGAAAUUAAGAUGAUGCCAUUUGGAGCUGGCAGGAGGAUCUGUCCCGGUUUUGGUUUGGCUAUGCUUCAUUUGGAGUAUUUUGUGGCUAAUUUGGUUUGGAAUUUUGAGUGGAAGGCUGUGGAUGGUGAUGAGGUUGAUUUGACUGAGAAGCAAGAGUUUACCGUUGUGAUGAAGAAUCCAUUGCAGGCUCUUCUUUCUCCUAGAACUAGAUAAGAACAUAACUCACCUGAUUAUUAUUAGUAUUAUUAUGCAUUUAAAAAUUAAGUAAGACUUUUAUAUUAAUAUUGGCAUAAUUAUAUGUACCAUCGUUCUGUUUGUGGUAAUUUUGUUAUCUCCUAUUGAAAUCUAAUGGUUGGUAGGCCUUGGCCAAAUCAACUUAAGAGGAAGGCAUCUGACUAAGCUUACCAUCGCUUUAUAGACUUUAAAUAAAAGCCUCGUAAGUAGACUCUCACGUUUUCUUUAUGUUUUUACAGUAAAGAACAUCAUCACCGAAGUGGAAGAAAGGACCAACUAAUUAAAAGAAGGAUUGAAAUUCUAUUGAUAUUUAUAAUAAAUAAAAAAAAACCCUACAGAGACUAUUUUUGUUAGCCCAAUAUGACACAGCUUGAAUUUAUAUCACCACAUAAUAUAGGUAUUCAAUUCUCAGAGGAGGAAUUUUACGCCUACCCAAUCUAAUUAGGAGAGAAUCAAGUCCCAACUAUUAUCAGGACUCAAACCAAUAUUUGAGUGCAUGGGUUGUGUCAACGGGCUACCACCUCAUUGUCCCAACUUGUUACUGGUACAAGCGAUUUAUUUUAUGUACCCGUAAUAUUGAUAAUAGUUUGUAACUAUAUAAGCAAUAAGCAAUCCUUAAAUUAGUUCCCACCUUAACACCAAUGGUCUUUCCAUCGGAGACCUCAUCACCAGCCUGAUUUGGUCCAUUUGCUGGUGCAAAAAACUCUUGCAUCAAUAUGGACUGCACCACAAAAACUGUCAACUCAAAGGGCCGAUAAUCAAAAGUGAAGCCCUUUAUCUUUAUCAUACUCCCACCGUUAUAUAGCCAAUAAUCAAAAGUGAGAAUAACACGUUGCUUCAUUGAUUGAAGUUAAACAUCAAAUAUUAUCUUUCAUGUUAAAAAGUAGGAUUUCUCUAUCAUGCUGUAAUUUUUUUACAACAUCAAUAAUAUUUUAAUUGUGUACUAUUGGAUUAAAUCUAAUGGUAUACAAUAUUUGUGCUAAAGAAAAAAAAUUAAAAAUAAUUGUAAACAGUUUGUUAACGGGUCAAGGGGGAGAAAUUUUGUAAAAUAACUGUGACCACCCUUAAUGUUUGAAGUAAUUUCACUUAAAUAUCAUAUUUUAUUUAAAAUUACUUUUCAACUCUCCUUUAAAUUUGUAUUGUGAUAAUCUUUUUUAAAUAAAUCUUCCAAAAUCUAUUACCAUUAAUUAUAAAAAAUAUAAUAUGAAGUACAUUAUUUAACACAAAUCAAAGAAAUAAGUUGCAAUUGUAAAAUUAAUUAUAUAUAAUAUAACACUAAUAAAUAACACAACUAAAUACAUAUACUUAAGUGAAUGUCAUAGGUAUAUCAAUAAACUCAUUGGUGAGAUUGCUUGUAACCUAAAAAAUACUUGAUCACACAUGUUUUAAUAAAAUUUAAUAUCUUAUAUCAAAAUACUCAUUAUUUUAUAUAAUAUUAAGGACUAUUGAAUAAUUGAUCAUGAAGUAUAUAUUAUUUUUAACACUCAUUUAACAUACAUAUUCUCUGAAUUUUUUGUUUAGGAUUUCUUUAUAAUACUUUAUGAGUUUUUACAACAUUGAUAAUAGGAUUGUUGUGGACUCUUGGAUGUUAGGGUUUUCAGUUUACCAUUCAUUUGAUACAGUGAAUAAAAAAUUAGUUAUUUAAAUCAUAACAAGUAAUCUUCAUGUUGCACGUAAAUAUAGAUUUUUAUAUUUUUAAUUAAUUGAUAAAAGAAAAUUUAUAUUAUAAUAAAUAAAAAUCCCACAAUCAAUGAUGGGAUCAUUGGAUUUAAUAUUAGAAUCUUCACCCUUAAUUUAAUUUUAAUGGAUAAGUAAUUAUGUAACAAGUAAUCUGCAAGUUGUGAUAUUUUUUCAUAUUUUAAAUUAUUUUAUAUCUAAUCAAUUGAUGAAUAUUUUAAAUCAUCAAAAAAUAAAAGAAAUACAAGUAAUUUUGGAAUUAAAAUUAUUAUGUAUUAAUUCUCUUACUUUACAAUUUUACAUUUUUUUACUUUUACAUUUAGUAUUAGAAAUAUAUUUAGUAGCAUUAAAAUAAAUGUAAUUAACAAGUAAUGUUAUUUCAAUAAUACUUUAUAUAAAGAUAUUACAUAAAAUCUUAUAAUAAUUUGUAUUGUAUGAAUUUAAUUACAAACCAUUAAUACCUAAACAAUAAUGAUAAUAGAAGGCAUUCUAAUAAAAUAUUUUAUAUAUGUUUUAUUAGUAAUACUAUGAGUCACAACAAAUGAGAAAUAUUUUAUUCACUAAUGAAAAAUAUAUAUGGCUAUAUAAAUAUAUAGUGAGAAAUAUUUUGAUUUAAAUUUUUAACAAAAAAUUAAAAUAUUAAUUUCAUGCAAUUCAAUGGUGGAGGAUAAGACAUUAUAAAAUUAUGCUUUGACUUUCAAUAUUAACUAUUAGGCUAUGAGAUAUUAAUGACUCAAAUAUUGCGUCAAAAUUUUAAGUUAAAGUAUCCUAAACCAUGUCUUUAUAAUGGAAAUAUAAAAACAUACAAUUAAUUUUUCUCAUUUUGUCAUUAAAUAUUAUUGGAUGUAAUAUUUUAUUUAUUGUCACUAGUACUUAUCAUAAUAAAAGCAAUGACUCCUAGUAACAUAAAAAUUUUAUAAUUACAAUCAAAGAAUAACGAUAAAAUAAUCUUUCAUGAUUCAUAAACUAAAGUUAAUUAGGAAUAUAUGUUAGAUUAAACUUUUAUGAAAUUAACAAAGUGACAUUUGAAAAUAAAAUGAAAACAAGCUUGUGAAAGUUAAAGUUUAUAAGGCUUGGAUAAUUUUCUACCAUGUAAAUAAAAAUAUAAAAAUAUAAAAAGAUUUUCUUUCCCAAUUUUUCCACAUAAAUAUUAUUGGAGGUAAUAUUUUAUUCAUUGUCACUAGUAAUUACCAUAAUAAAAGUAACAACUCUUAGUAACAUAAAAUUUUAUUAUUACAAUCAAAGGAUGUCAAUAAAAUAAUGUUUCAUGAUUCAUAAACUAAAGCUCAUUAGGAAUAUAUAUUAGAUUUAACUUUUAUGAAAUUAACAAAGUGAUAUUUGAAAAUAAAAUGAAAAUAUAUAGACUUGUAAAACUUAAAAUUCCUAUCAUGUAAGAAUAUUAAUUAUAACAUAAACAAAAAGUUCAAAGAAUAUGUACAUUAAAUGGGUGUUAAAAAUAAUAUAUACUCCAUGAUCAAUUAUACAAUGGUCCUUAGUAUUAUAUAAAAUAAUGAGAAUUUUAAUAUGCGAUUUUAAAUUUUAUUACAACAUGAGUGAUCAAGUAGUUUUUAGGUUACAAGCAAUCUCACCAAUGAGUUUAUUGAUGUGAGUAUGACGUUUAUUAAAGUAUAUGUACUUAGUUGUGUUAUUUGUUAGUGUUAUAUCAUAUAUAAAUUUUGCAAUUGCAAUUUAUUUAUUUGAUUUGUGUUAAAUAACCUACUUCAUAUUAUAUUGUAUACUUAUUGGUAAUAGAUUUUGGAAAAUUUAUUUAUAAAAAAUUAUCACAAUACAAAUUUAAAGGAGAGUUGAAAAGUAAUUAUAAAUAAAAUAUGCUAUUUAAGUGAAAUUGCUUUAAACUCUAAGGGUAGUCACAAUUAUUUUACAAAUAUUUCUCCACCUCUUGAACGGUUGACAAAUUGUUUAACAUUAUUUUUAAUUUUUUUCUUUAGCAAAAAUAUUGUAUACCAUUAGAUUUAAUCCAAUAGUGCACAAUUAAAACAUUAUUGAUGUUGUAAAAAAAAUUACAGCAUCAUAGAGGAACCCUAAAAAGUAAACAUAAAUAAAUAAAUAAAUAAAUAUAUAUAUAUAUAUAUAUAUAUAUAUAUAUAUAUAUAUAUAUAUAUAUAUGUAUGUAUGUAUGUGUGUGUAUUUUGAAUUAUAAAUAUGACAUUUCAAUUGACAUUCAUAUGUGUUAAAACAUGUCAAAUUUUUAAGGACUAUCAAUUUGUAUGUUAAAAGGUUACAUUUACUCUUUAAAGAGAAUUUCUAUUAAAAUUUUAAUUUCAAUAAUAAAAUGAAGUAUUAAAAAUUUCAACGAACUUAAUUAGUUAAAAAAUUGUUAUAAGGAAUAAAUAAAUACACACACACACUUUACCACACCAAAAUUUUCUAACAAUUGCUUUUCUCCACUUAAUAUUUUAGUUUUUAUCAUUUUACCAUCAAACCGUUAAAGUUAACAUAAUUUUUAAUAGAAAUUAUAGUAAAAGUCUAGUUUAUUCCAAAACUGGAGUAUAAUUUAACCAUCUAAACGAUACUUUUAUCAAUUGAUUAUUUUAUAUAUCUCAAAUAAUUAAUUGAUAAAAUUGUAAAUAUUAUAAUUCUUAAAAUACUGACUAUACUGAAAUUCUUAAAAUAUUACUGUGACAUCAGCAAUUUAUUAAUGGAAUUAAUGUUUUGGUGGUAAAUUGAUAAAAAUUGAAACAUUAAGUGUGAAAAAUUAAUUGUUAGAAAAUGUUGGUAAUAAAAUGAUAUGUAAGAAAAUAUUAGGCCACAUGUAAAAUGAUAAUAUCCCAAAAAAAAUUAAAAAUUACUAAACAUUUGUUCAGGGGCUAUUCGUCAUUUCCACUAGUUAUCACUUCAUAUUAUUACCUAAGUGGUGACGUUAUAGAAUGGAGGAGACAAUGGACAAACAACAAAGAACAAGAAAGCAUCAAAAUAGAUGACUUGUAUAUAUAUACAUAUAUAUAGUUGUAGUUUGGAUUUGCUAAUGAAACUCAACUAACCAGUAAUUUUGGUGUUCGGAAAAUACAAGAACUCGAGGUGUCACGAAUACGAUCUAUAGAUCAUUUUUUUUUUCUUUUUUAACGUGUGAAUUACACAAGUUUCUACCAGUAGGCAGCAGACAUCAUUGUUUUUUUUUUUUUUUUAACAUGCAUGAUGCAUGUACUAGAACCAAAAAAAAAAUGGUAAUAUGAUUAAUGUUCUUCUUUUGGACACACGCAUAAUUAUUCUGAAUUUGAUGAUAAUAUAUAUAUAUAUAUAUAUAUAUAUAUAUAUAUAUAGUGAGAGGAAAGGAAAGUCAAAACACUUGGCAUGUAUUGAUUGAAUGAUCACCAUGUAAAUUUUUGUCCCUUCCGUGUAUGUCGCUUUCCUUUCGUCCGUGGAUAAGGAUGACACGUUUGAUUUUUUUUUUUUUUUUUCACUCAAUAAUAUGAGAAAUUUUAGAAUACAUAUGAGGUAUUAUGUCAAUUAUACAAUAAAUAAAUAGUAUCAUAAUGUAGGUGUAUUUAUUUUAAAAAAUUAUCUUAUAAAUAAUAAUUGUAUUAAAUUUAACUACACAUGUCAUACAUGUAUCAAUUAAUUAUAAUAUAUUGAGAAUAUUAUAAAAUUUCUCCAAUAAUAUUGGGAUACCGUGUGUUUUGAUCUGCUACAAAAUUAAAUGAUUAAGUUAGUUGUAGCUGUGAAGGUGGGAUCAUGUGCCAAGUCAAAGCGAUAUUAAUGUCAGUGUUACAACCACCUUAUUGAUAGCUAAUAUUUUUCCAAGAUUGAGCCUUAAAUCACAACAUUUUCAAACAAGUUGGAAGACUAAUUAAUAGAAGUCAAAAUUUUAUUUUUCACUGAUAAGUCAAAUAUUGUUAAAUACUUCGAAUACAAGUGUAUUUAUUAGCCAAUUUAUAUUAUACCAUGCAAAGUAAUAUUAUUAAAAGAAAAAAAGAUAGAAGAAGAGGAAGAAGCAAGAUUAAAACACCAAAAUUUAUUAUCACUACUCCGGUAAAUUACCCCAGCUGCUGAAGUGACAUAAAUGUGGGCCUCAUACUAUAAUGGGAUAUUAAGAUAAAUUAUCACUUUCUAAACAUAGUGAAAUACUUGUGCAGGAUGGGUGCUCUAAUGAUUUUUUUUUUUUUUUUAAUACAUGAGACAAUUGCUCAAGAGUACAACUCAUAUUACAUGAGAUUACAAUUGAUAUUUAUAAAUCAGAUUAUUACUGAAAUUAGUUUACAUCAAUUUACUAUUAUUGAGACUAGUUUACAUCAAUUUUUAUGAAGCACCACUUAGAUUUUUUACCCUCUCUAAUAUUCGAGGGACACCUACUCCACUCACAUUUCGAAAAAGAAAAAGAUUGUCUUUACUUAAAGACAGUGUCAUGACCCAACCUAGACCUGACAAGAUAUUGUCCACUUUGAGCCUUAACAAGGUCCACACGGUUUUGUUCCUAGGGCAGCCAUACAUCCCAAAACGCAUCUUGUCAAUUAAGUUAUGGAUCACCCCUUAUAAAUCCAGCAUCUCUGCCGAUGUGGGAUUUGCCUAGGGUGUUACAUACACCCCACUUAGGGACUCAGCGUCCUCGCUGAGGUUUGCCCCACCAUCGCUCAAGAGAACACGCGGAGCCGCUCUGAUACCAUAAUGUCAUGACCCAACCUAGACUUGGCAAAAUAUUGUCCGCUUUGGGCCUUAACAAGGCCCGCAUGGUUUUGUUCCUAGGACGCUCAUACAUCCCAAAACGCGUCUUGCCAAUUAAGGUAUGGAUCAUCUCUUAUAAACUCAUAAACUUUCCCGUGCUUUGCCGAUGUAGGAUUUGUUUAGGGUGUUACAUUGAGAAAGUAAAUUAAAUCCCCACAAUUAAUGAAGAAUUUAAACCUGUCAAAUAUCAAGUUAUUUUAGUGAUGUGUAUGCUAUUUUGUGGGGGUUUAAUUUUCUUCCUCAAUUUGAGCGAAGACAACAUUAUGAUUUUAACUGCCUAUAUUAUGAUUUCUUGAAUAUAACAUUCUUUGGGAAGACAACAUUUUUAUAAUACAAUAUUGAGAAUUUUCGCUAGCCAACGUAAGUUAACACUCAUUCAUUUAUUGUCUAAAUCUUGAAUUCACAGCCUUCCUAAUAAAAGACAGUAAUAAUUAAACAUAUACCAUCACAAUCAAACCCAAACACACUAUUUUUUCUCCUUUGUCCUCUUACAUAUAUCUUCUACUAUUUAAACCAUCACAAUUUAACGUAAGCUAAAAUAUAGGAACUAAAUGAGUUUUACCCAGUAUUUUAGAGCAAGGGAUAAGAGAAGGCAUGUUAAUAAUUUUUAUUAUGGCUGUUAAAGCUACAAUAUAAAGUCUCUUUACUCGUCUGACUAUCAAUUACUUUCCAAGCUUUCCAUAAUUUUAUGAAGUUAUCAAAUAUUGGUCAUAUUUUCUGAAUAUAUGUGUGUUGUGUAUUCGCUGUACACAUACCUAUGCACAUCCAACUUUUGCAUCAUUCGAGUUUCACAAUUGAUGUUAUCAAGCCAUAUGUGUAAAUUUGUUCAUAAAUAAUAGUUGUUAAUAUAAAACACCGAAAUCCUAAGGUUACGUUGCUAUGCAGAGAACAUUAAUUAAAACCAUGAACUACGAUUUUGAUGAAACCAGCUUACUUUUAUUAAUGAAUACACACCCUUAUUUAUAUACCUGUGCUAUGAUUACAUGCUGUAACAUUUCUUCACCUAUGGCCUUUAUUAAAAGAUUAUCAAAGCAAACUAAUAUCUAUUCACUGCGCAGUCCAAUCCUCCAUUAUUUCAUUUGAUGUCUGGCCUUGGAUUGUCAAAACCUGCUUCUAGAUUCUUUAAGGGCUUUCAUUCUUAUCCUUUGGUGGUGCUACAUGUGCUCUAGAAUUCAAAUUAUGACUUCCCGCUAACUGGCUCUUCACUCUGGCAUUUCGUCGAACAGUUUGUUAUUUAUGACAAACACCUUGUUUUGACUAAAAUUUAUUUGGCAACUUUGCUCAUCAAAGGAUGAGCUAAUGAACGUGUGUCAGUACUGUACAAAUCUACUAUAUUGAAGCGCUGGAAUAAUUAAACAGUUUUAUUACCUUCUGGUAGUGUAAAAUCAAAAUAAUUUUCAGCAAUUGAAAAUUAGAGAUGAUGAGGUGGACAUUUAUUUUGCUUUUUUUUUGUAUUUAUUCAUUAUUUGAAAAAUAUUUCUAGAAUUUAACGAAAAUAAAAACAUACACUAAUUUUUUUUUUAAUACUGAUUACAUAUCAAAUUACUGUAUUGCACAGAUAUUUGCAAAUACUAUUAUAGCAAACAUUACACUGAUAUUUACAGUAAGAUAUACAUAACUGAGACUUACAUUAUUACAUUAAAUUCUAUGAAAUACAUGCCCAGACAAAUAACCCUCACAGACAAGGGAUGUCUCUAUUCCACUCGCAUUUCACAAGGGAGAAUGACAUACAAAUAUUAUAGCCCCCACAAUACUUUUGUGGGAGCUUGUGAGGGCAGCAAUUCAACCACUCGGCCAAAGGCUGAGUGACAAACAUACACCAAUCUAAAAAGCAUAACAUUCAAGAUUUUCUUUGCUAUUUGAUAAAGGGUGGGGCUAACCCACCAAAUUCCUCUCUACACCCAUUUUAUUAAAAAUUUUAAAGUUACCUGCACUAAUCUCUUUCUCUCUCUAUCUUAUAAUUGUGUAUUCUCUUUCUACUCUCAUAUUUUGUAAAUUAGAAACUCAAUUUUUUUUUUUGAAUUCAUUUUUUGGUAUUUCUAAUUAUAUCAUAAUCUCUAUUUCAUGCUUUUUGUAUAUAACAAUUUUAUUAUUGAUUUUCAUUUGCUUUUGUGUCUGAUAAAAAUUAAUUUUUAUAUUCAUUAACUUUUAGAACUGAAUUGAUGAGAAUUUAUGAAAUUGAGAAGAGAAAAAGAUGAAACGUUAAUUAAGUAAUUUUUAAGAAAAUUAUUUAUAUAAUAAAACUCUUAAUUAAAAAGAUGAUGUAGAAAAUAAAUUAGUGGGUUCAAAUAGUCUUAUCCUUUGAUUAAAUAAACUAAUUUUAAAUUGAUAUUUAUGAUAUUUCCAAACCGUUAUUGACUGUCCGUAAUUAAUUUAAUAAACCAAAUACCAAUUAAGUAGUUAGAAUCUACAAAUAUAUUAUAAGGUUUACGAGAUUCUAAACUUAUUAUAAUAUAGUUUAAAUAUAUAAGUAGAAUUGGAAAAUGUACUUCUAGUUCUACUAAUCAUAUUUAAAAAGAAAUACAUAAAACAAAAAAAAAAUUGUAAAAACCAGUAUAGAGUCUCGAAUUGGUGCACUCAGUAUAUUAAUGGCUGAUUGGCAGUAUGGCACCCACCUAAAACUAACUCCUGUCGACUUGGAAAUCCUAAUUAAUUAAUCCUUGAUUCCUUGAAAAACAUAUCAGUGCUAAAUGAUUUAGUAUUAUCAUUUUAGUUAUUACAGAAUUAUUUCCAUAUUCUGUCAUUAAAUAUAAGUAUUUUUACUAUAUGCAUAUGUUUACACAUUUUAAACAAUUAUUGAUAUAGAUAAUCAUAUGGAAGGAAAAGUUGUGGAUAUGUAUAUAUAGUAAAAAGUUAAUAAUAGAUAUCUCAAACUAUAUGGCAUGUAAUAUUUUAUUUAUUAAGUAGUUUCUGUUUUUCAUCAAUUAUAAGUUAAUUAAUUAGAUAAUUUUUUUGUUAUUUUUUUGAAUUAAAAUUUUGAGAUAUGUAGCAAUUGGCAGACCAGAGACAUGACCAAAAAUAUCUUGGGACAAUCACAUUCAAAAUAAUUCAUUGAGAUAUGUAGCAAUUGGUAGACCAGAGACAUGACCAAAAAUAUAUUGAGACAAUCACAUUCAAAAUAAUUCAUUGAGAUAUGUAGCAAUUGGUAGACCAGAGACAUGACCAAAAAUAUAUUGGGACAAUCGCAUUCAAAAUAAUUCAUUGAGAUAUGUAGCAAUUGGUAGACCAGAGACAUGACCAAAAAUAUAUUGGGACAAUCCCAUUCAAAAUAAUUCAUUGAGAUAUGUAGUAAUUGGUAGACCAGAGACAUGACAAAAAAUAUAUUGGGACAAUCAUAUUCAAAAUAAUUCAAGAUUGGCUUAUAUAAACACGAACGCUUUCAAAAACUACACACCGCCAGUUGCUUACAACCAACUGAAUAUUAAUUAUUAUUAUUAUUCGUCACACCGUUUACUCUUUUUUGACUUAUCAAUUUGCAGAAAUGGAAUUCGGGUUCAUCAUCCUAAUCUCAAUCGCCGUUGCUGCCCUUCUCAAAGCUUUCAUCGGCGUUAUCAUCCCCUCCAAAUACAAAACCAAUCUUCCUCCAGGCCCCUUUAAUGUCCCCCUCAUCAGCAACCUUCAGUGGCUUCUCAAAUCUUUCACCGAAAUCGAACCAAUCCUCAGAAACCUUCACUCCAAGCUUGGCCCCGUCGUCACGCUCUAUGUCGGCCCUCGCCCGGCUAUCUCUAUCGCCGAUCGCUCACUGGCCCACAAGGCCUUGGUCCAAAACGGCGCCAUCUUUGCUGACAGACCCCCGCCUCUUCCCACAUGGAAAAU